rnacentral:tRNA from 1 species
GCCACCGUAGCUCAGAGGCAGAGCAGCGGUUUCGUAAACCGCAGGCCGUCGGUUCAAAUCCGACCGGUGGCUCCA